GUAUGUACUGGGAAAAUGAACCCAUAAACUGCAGGGAGUGACUGUGGGCCAGACUCUGUUGGCUUCGCUCUGCGUCUUGGCUGCCGAACAAAGGUGCUGCCGAAAAGGUUCCUGGUGUUCUUACUGAAUUUGCAUCUAAUACAACAGAGCUCUUCUUCAGACUGUACUUACGUGUUUUGAGGCAAGUUCUGUCUUUGGAUUUUGAACUGCAGUCCCGAUUCAAGCGUGCCUCACCUGAAUCAGUUUGUGGAAAAAUAUUUAGAACAGAGCGCUGUGCCUAGGAGAGAAGCAGCCGAUGAGUAUUUUUCCUUCCCCAGGUCGUGAUCAGAGGAUGCAAAGAGAAGGUGCCAUCAUGUGAAGGGGAAGCAGCUCGCUGAGAAGCAGGACGCAGGGGAAGGCCAAGCUUGAGAGCUCCUGAGUGCAGGAUGACGGACUGAUCUGCCCUUGGACACGAGAGCCGCCCUCYUCCGAAGGACUCGGCCGAGCGAGAGGAGAGGAGCAGGAGGCAGCGCCCGGAAGAGCGAUGGGAAGGGAGGGCCAUGGUUACCUGAGAUAAAUGGCCGGUCGCUGGGAGUGGGGCCCUG